rnacentral:rRNA from 1 species
UGGGGAAUAUUGGACAAUGGGCGAAAGCCUGAUCCAGCAAUGCCGCGUGAGUGAUGAAGGCCUUAGGGUUGUAAAGCUCUUUUACCAUCGGGAUGAUAAUGACAGUACCUGGAGAAUAAGCUCCGGCUAACUCCGUGC